GAGGGUAUAGCUCAGUGGUAGAGCACAUGCUUAGCAUGCACGAGAUCCUGGGUUCAAUCCUCAGUACCUGUA
rnacentral:tRNA from 1 species